CGAAUCUUGUGUCUCCCCCCCCAUUCCCUUAGCUGUCACCAGCUCCCCCUGCAGCCCUGAGGGAAGCAGAUUCAAGGCUGCUGAGGUCGGAGGGAAUUCAGGGACCCCACAGACUCGAUGGGAAGAAGGAUGGCGAGCUGGCGGAACGGAUGUUUCUCUGGUGCUACCUCUGAGUUGCUGUGCAACAUAAGAGUGCGUUUCUCCGGCUUGAACCCAGAACCGGGCCCGCACCAGCAGGACUGGAGUCCGCACUUUCUUCAGCAGCAGAAGAAACGAAAUCCCAACAGAACCGCCUCCUUCCGUGGCUUCAAGGGACUGAACAAGCGUGUGUGUUAUUAAA